rnacentral:rRNA from 1 species
CCUACGGGAGGCUGCAGUGGGGAAUUUUGGACAAUGGGCGAAAGCCUGAUCCAGCCAUUCCGCGUGAGUGAAGAAGGCCUUCGGGUUGUAAAGCUCUUUCGCAAGGGAAGAAACGAUGCAGUCGAAUAAACUGUGUUAAUGACGGUACCUUGAUAAGAAGCACCGGCUAACUACGUGCCAGCAGCCGCGGUAAUACGUAGGGUGCAAGCGUUAAUCGGAAUUACUGGGCGUAAAGCGUGCGCAGGCGGUUUUGUAAGUCAGAUGUGAAAUCCCCGAGCUCAACUUGGGAACUGCGUUUGAAACUACAAGACUAGAAUAUGUCAGAGGGGGGUAGAAUUCCACGUGUAGCAGUGAAAUGCGUAGAGAUGUGGAGGAAUACCAAUGGCGAAGGCAGCCCCCUGGGAUAAUACUGACGCUCAUGCACGAAAGCGUGGGGAGCAAACAGGAUUAGAUACCCCGGUAGUC